rnacentral:misc_RNA from 1 species
CGGGAACACAGGAGAAAUGUGUCACCUGUGGCAAAACAGCAUAUCCAUUGGAAAAGGUGACUGUCGAAGAAAAAUCAUACCACAAGAUCUGUUUCAAAUGCUCCCACGGAGGCUGUUCCAUCUCUCCUUCCAACUACGCGGCAUUGGAGGGCAUCCUUUACUGCAAGCCUCAUUUCUCUCAGCUUUUCAGGGAGAAGGGUAGCUACAACCAUCUCAUCAAGUGUGCUUCGAUCAAGCGCACAGCGGCAUCGGUUCCCGACCUUUAAUCCUGCACAUACUCUGGGAAUCUAUUCUGAGCUAUCCUGGUCUUUUAGUCUAUUUG